GGACCAUGCAGGAAGAGUGGGGGAGUUCGAUUCAGACAGAGCUGUACUCCAGACCGGUCAGGGAAUAUCUCGGGCAACAGUCUAGCCUCCCAGAAUCUCCUGUUUAAUUCCCUCUCAGUCUGUUCUGGUCUGCAGUGGCUGAGCAGCUGCUGCAGGUCCCCCAGGAGAGCUGCACUGAGGGGGUGAAGAGGGUCCCUCCUGUGGGUGAAGACCCCUGAGCUCCUGUGGGGGGAGAAGCACGUUAUCAGCGCAGCUGUGAGAGUGCUGUCAGUCACAGGCCUUUCCCCUGAGCCCCUGAGCUGGGAGGAUCAUGAGGACCACCUGGACAGUCAAUAGUCUGCUGCUUCACCUGCAUAAGAGGUCACUCUUUACAGUAGUUUCUUUCAUCAUUAAGAGGGAGUUAUGGACAACUCUUUCAGGGGAUUCUUAAAUAUCACAUUCCUUUUUUUUAACAAAUGUUGGUAUUAAAUAGGUUGCUAGGAAAACAAUACAGUGAUCAUUGUAUCACCUGAUACACAUACAGUACUCGGUUUUCAGUAAUAGCUCUGCACCUGCAGUUACGAGUGUUGAACCUUGAAUCUCUGUAUGUCUCCUGUAUUUCAAAGAAUCAGUUCACAGUUCAGCUUUUUUUUUUAUGAAUAAAGGAAAAUGUGA